AGCGAACGCUGGCGGCAGGCUUAACACAUGCAAGUCGAGGGGAGUGGCAGACGGGUGAGUAACGCGUGGGAACGUACCUUUUGGAUCGGAACAACACAGGGAAACUUGUGCUCAUACCGGAUACCGAAAGAGCGGCCCGCGUCUUAUUUGCUAGUUGGUGAGGUAAUGGCUCACCAAGGCUACGAACAGUAGCUGUCUGAGAGGAUGAUCAGCCACAUUGGGACUGAUAUACGGCCCAAACUCCUACGGGAGGCAGCAGUGGGGAAUAGUGGACAAUGGGGGAAACCCGGAUCCAGCCAUGCCGCGUGAGUGAUGAAGGCCCUAGGGUUGUAAAGCUCUUUUGUGCGGGAAGCGGGAAAGAAAGAAUAAGCCCCGGCUAACUUCGUGCCAGCAGCCGCGGUAAUUG
rnacentral:rRNA from 1 species